AUUGAACGCUGGCGGCAGGCCUAACACAUGCAAGUCGAACGAAGUCUUCGGACUUAGUGGCGGACGGGUGAGUAACACGUGGGAACGUGCCUUUAGGUUCGGAAUAACUCAGGGAAACUUGUGCUAAUACCGAAUGUGCCCUUCGGGGGAAAGAUUUAUCGCCUUUAGAGCGGCCCGCGUCUGAUUAGCUAGUUGGUGGGGUAAUGGCCCACCAAGGCUACGAUCAGUAGCUGGUCUGAGAGGAUGACCAGCCACAUUGGGACUGAGACACGGCCCAAACUCCUACGGGAGGCAGCAGUGGGGAAUCUUGCGCAAUGGGCGAAAGCCUGACGCAGCCAUGCCGCGUGGAUGAUGAAGGUCUUAGGAUUGUAAAAUCCUUUCACCGGUGAAGAUAAUGACUGUAGCCGGAGAAGAAGCCCCGGCUAACUUCGUGCCAGCCGCCGCUGUAAAAC
rnacentral:rRNA from 1 species